UGUUUGAAUUUGCCACUGCCUCCUGUUUCUCUCUCACAGAUCCACUAACUUUUCGCCACGCAAGCAACUGAAAACCGCCAUUCCCUAAAAACCGCGGACUGCUCUUCCUCUCAAUUCCUUUCACUAAAAAAAAAACCCAAUAGCACAAAAAAGAAGGCGGUUUUUUUUUCCCCUCUCUCUGUACUCUCUUUCCCUUUUAACUUCAAGAUCCAAUCCUUCUAUUCUCUCUCGGACCUUUUCCUCUGUAUAACAGCCACAGAUCCGUCCUUUUUCUCUCUAAAAACAAGCAAACAAGAGUCUACUUAGUGGUGGUUGCUGGUGGUGGAUGGCAAGAGCCAAUAAAUAUGCCUCCGUUAACUUUAACCAUGUUUAUGACAAAAACAUAAGCAAAUCCUCCUCUUCUAAUAACACGAACAACAACCCAUCGAAGCACCCAUCUUCCACUUCUUUUUACUCGACAACAUCAUCACCUAAGAGCCCGAACAAUCUCUACAAAAGCCAUCUUCCAUCCUCAUCAACCCGAACCCAUGGGCGGAUGCUGGUUCUGACCCGACCCACACCUAAACCGAUAUCCACUAUCCAAACAACACCACUGACUCCCUCUCCGAAAACCCCACCAGGCCAUCCAGCUCAAGUUCAAAUCCCGGUUCAAACAGGGGCUGAAUCGGAACAGGACCGUAUUUCUCUACGUCCUCUAGGUCGAACCGGGGUUGGUUCGAUUGUUUCUUCUCCGGUUCGUGGACAGGAGAAGCAGAAGGAGGUUGGGGCUAGUCUGGGGUCGCCUAAACCGGAUAAGUUUGUGCCACCACAUCUUAGACCGGGUUUUGCUGGGAGGGAGGAGAGGCCUGGACCGGAGGUUUUUAGGGGUAAGGAGGUGGGUCAAAGGCAGCAGCAGCAACAGUUUUUCGGUUCUCCGGGUCGGUUUGGUGAAGACGGAAGGCCCAAGUCAGGUGGGUAUGAGACGAUGAGGAGAGGUGAUGAAUCAAAUCUGGCUUUCGUUAGACCCAGAUCUAGUGGAAAUCGGCCCAGUUCAAGUGGAUGUGAUGCAUGUGUUUUUGGGUUGUUUUACUCGUGGAUAAGUUUAACAAGCGCGAUCACAUUAUUGUAAGUUAUUGCGUUUGCUUUGUGCAUAUGGUGAUAUGCAGAUGAUGUAUUUGUCGGAUAAAUUCAUGUUGAAAUUAUUUGAGAGCUCUUACGACAUUGAACAUAAUCCUUGAUGCUACACACCAGAUACUUCAUUGAGCCCCAGUUUCCAUCUACUGUUCCCUUAGAACUGUCAUUGUCUCUUACCCGAGGAUCAGUGGCAUUUUAACCCAUGCAGCCUGGUGGCACCAUUUAGGUUCUGAACUCUGAUGACUGAAGAAACCUAGGUACCUAAGGGUUGUAAGAUGUGCUUGUGUGAACUUUUCUGUUUUUUCAGUUUUACAUUUCUGAUUGGGAGCAUGUUGUCUGUAUGCUACCUUCUCAGUAACUUUUCCUCUUGGAUGUACUUCAAAAAUCUUUGUUCCAUGACUUCUCCUGCCUUUUUUCUUC